UAUCUUCUUUAAAAGAGCAAUGUGCUCAGUACUUGCAUAUGAAAUUAUUGGCCCCUUAGAAGUAAUUCUGACAAAGCUGUUGCUGGCACAUCACAGCGACUCUUUCAAAUGCCAAGCGUGAGGGGCCGGGCUGUCCUUGAGGAGCUCUGGAGGAAGAUUCGGGGACAGCAGAAGCAGAGUUGCUGGGGCUGACAUUGAUGCCCAGGGACUCUCUAGCAAAGCAGGGGGCUAUUCCAUUCUGCUAAUCUCCUAAGAGGCAGGGGGCAGCUGCACAUCUUUCAAUCCAUCCCUCUAUUGAUCCCAGCAGAAGAGGAGAACAGAGUGACUUCGCUGUUGCUUGGGGAAUGGACAGCUUGCUGCUGGGUUAGAUUUCUUGGAAGGUCCUCAGGGAUUCUAUCCUGCCACAUCUUGCUGGAAUAAGCUUGUUUAAUUGGAAGGAAAAUGGUUCCUGGUUGGUCCACUCCUGUCUGGAGAUGUCUGAAAUCCAUGGCACCGUCUCAGUUUUUUCUGCUGCACUUCCAGCUCGGCGCAGCGUCCCGCUGGCUCCAUUCAUCUCCCUCUUCAGGUGAGCUCUUCUCCAUGGUCUCGUCCCUGCCACAGAGAGGAAAAAGAGAAGGAAUGAAGAAUACGUAUAUGUUUUUAGCUUUUAGUAACUCUUUCCUAUUAGAUUAGAAAAAAUGGAUAGUUAGAUCUGCUGUGGUGGGGGGACAUCAAGGGUUAUUCAAGCCCCCACACAAAUGCAGGAUUCACUGUUCCUAAACCAUUCCAGAUAGAUGUUCAUCUAGACUUUUCUUGAAAACCACUGUGGAAGAAGAUUCUACAUCUUCUCUACACAGCUUUUUUCAGUGUCCUACUGUUCUACAGUUACAAUAUUUUUGCUGAAACAUAAUAUAAACCUGAUUUGCUUUGCCUCACCUCUAAACUAAAUGUACCCAUGAAGAGGUGAGAAAAGCCCCUUUUAAACCCACAGCCACAGAGGGAAACAACUGACCUACCCCACCAGAGUUGGCAACAACAAGGGAUUGGAAGUCACAGUCGGAGACCCACUUUACUAGCAGCUUCUCCAUCUGGGUUGCACCUCCCUGCAUCUGUGCUGGUAUUUCUGGCCUGAUGCCAAGACCAGAAGUGGGGCAAGAUGGACUCUAGAGGGGAACUCAAAUGCUGGAGUGUUGGGACACCAGAGCAGAAACCCUGGGAGAUGGGGAGAGGGCUGAUUCUCAGCCUGGGAUCUCAGAGGAGCUGUGUGUCACUGUGUCAUCCAUCCCUUGACAUCCUGCUCUUAUCUGGUGCUGGACAUUACUCCUCAGGGAGGCGGGCUCCUCUUUGGGACUGUCUGUGAUGUCUCUGGCUUGUAGAACAGCUGGGUAUGCCAACUGGGAGCACCCAGCUACAGCGUUGCUGUUGCUCCCCAACUUCUCCCCAGCAGCCAGCUUUUGUAGUUGACUGCCAGUGCUGAUUGAUGAUGUCAUCUUCUCUCAUCAACCCAGUGCUUGCACCCAGUAUAUCUUCCUGUGGUUCUCUGCUUCUUGCCACCAUGCCUGAACCCAGUAAGUUUUCUUGGCUCACAUGGCUUUAAGGGUUGUUUUCCCACUGCUUCUCUGCCCCCGAGAAAAGGGUCUCCACCAAGGUUCCCUCUAAGGUGCACAUGUGCACAGCCGCGCACAACUAAAAGUCUGGCCGCUCACAGACUUUUCAAGGCCGCGCAUCGGGAGAGGAGCUGAAGGUCAGCUCCUAGAUGAGGUAGGGGCGUGAACCUGGCGCAGGCUUCGCCAGCUCUGGGGAACUGCUCCACUCCCCCGCUUCGCCUUGGGGAGUG